rnacentral:rRNA from 1 species
AAGUCGUAACAAGGUUUCCGUAGGUGAACCUGCGGAAGGAUCAUUACCGAGUCAGGGUCCCUUGGGGCCCGAAACUCCAACCCAAUGUUUAAUUAUCCUGUUGCUUUGGCGGGUCCGUUUUUCUAGACCGUGGGAGGCUUGUUCUCUCGCCAGUGCCCGCCAGUAGCCCCUUUAAAUUCGUUAUAACCAUGAUGUCUUAGUGAAAAAAUAAUCGUUAAAACUUUCAACAACGGAUCUCUUGGUUCUGGCAUCGAUGAAGAACGCAGCGAAAUGCGAUAAGUAAUGCGAAUUGCAGAAUUCAGUGAGUCAUCGAAUCUUUGAACGCACAUUGCGCCCUUUGGUAUUCCGAAGGGCAUGCCUGUUCGAGCGUCAUUAUCAACCCUCAAGCCUGGCUUGCUGUUGGAUCCCAUCGUGAUGAUCGAUGGACCCGAAAGACAAUGACGGUGUCGUGAUCGACCCUAGAUGUAACGAGCUUCACAGCACGCAUCAUAGCGGUUGGCCGGCCCGGUCUCCCUAGUUUUUAUCUCUCAAGGUUGACCUCGGAUCAGGCAGGAAUACCCGCUGAACUUAAGCAUAUCAAUAAGCGGAGGAAAAGAAACCAACAGGGAUACCUCAGUAACGGCGAGUGAAGCGGUAACAGCUCAAAUUUGAAAUCUGACCUUCACGGGUCCGAGUUGUAAUUUGUAGAGGAUGUUUCGGGCAAGGCUCCGGUUUAAAUUUCUUGGAACAGAAUGUCAUGGAGGGUGAGAAUCCCGUCUGGAACCGCCGGCCGCGUCCAUGUGAAGCUCCUUCGACGAGUCGAGUUGUUUGGGAAUGCAGCUCAAAAUGGGUGGUAAAUUUCAUCUAAAGCUAAAUAUGGGCGAGAGACCGAUAGCGAACAAGUACCGUGAGGGAAAGAUGAAAAGAACUUUGGAAAGAGAGUUAAACAGUACGUGAAAUUGCUGAAAGGGAAACGCUUGAAGUCAGUCGCGUUGUCCAGGGAUCAACCUUGCUUUUGCUUGGUGCAUUUUCUGGUUCGACGGGUCAGCAUCAAUUUUGAUCGUUGGAAAAAGGCUAAGGGAAUGUGGCAUCUUUGGAUGUGUUAUAGCCCUUGGUCACAUACAAUGGUUGGGAUUGAGGAACUCAGCACGCCGAAAGGUCGGGUUUUAAACCACGUACGUGCUUAGGAUGCUGGCAAUAUGGCUUUAAUCGACC